GACGAACGCUGGCGGCGUGCCUAAUACAUGCAAGUAGAACGCUGAAGCUUGGUGCUUGCACCGAGCGGCUGAGUUGCGAACGGGUGAGUAACGCGUAGGUAACCUGCCUGGUAGCGGGGGAUAACUAUUGGAAACGAUAGCUAAUACCGCAUAAGAGUAGAUGUUGCAUGACAUUUGCUUAAAAGGUGCAAUUGCAUCACUACCAGAUGGACCUGCGUUGUAUUAGCUAGUUGGUGAGGUAACGGCUCACCAAGGCAACGAUACAUAGCCGACCUGAGAGGGGGAUCGGCCACACUGGGACUGAGACACAGCCCAGACGCCUACGGGAGGCAGCAGUAGGGAAUCUUCGGCAAUGGACGGAAGUCUGACCGAGCAACGCCGCGUGAGUGAAGAAGGGUUUCGGAUCGUAAAGCUCUGUUGUAAGAGAAGAACGAGUGUGAGAGUGGAAAGUUCACACUGUGACGGUAUCUUACCAGAAAGGGACGGCUAACUACGUG
rnacentral:rRNA from 1 species